UCCCAGGGACAGAAACCCUAGCCCAUUUCCCCCAAUCCCCACGCGAGCUUGGUCCUGGCCAAUGGCGGCGCCGGACCCCAAUCACCUCGCACGCUUCGUCCUCCCCAAUCCCCCUCCUUCCGCUCCACCAAUCGCUCAUGCUCUCCUCCCUCUUCGCGUCGGCAGCUCCGUGCUCUCUCCUACCACUCCAUGGCACAGCGUCCCCGGCCUUGUUCGUUGGUAUGCGGGAGGCGGAGGGACGGAGGAGGCAGGCAGUGCUCGUCCCUUGGCAACCAGAGCUGGUUGCGGAUGGAGGUGCAGCGGUGGGGCGGAGACCAGGAGCAGGCCUCAAGAGCAGCGCAGCCCACGACCAUGCGCCGUGCCCUCGCCAAUAGGACUGGUUGUUGGCCGACGGGAGAGCACAUCACGCUGCUCACCCCACUCUGCUUCUUCCUCAUCUCCUUGCUCAACGGGAGGAAAACGAGCAGCCGCCAAACCCCUACCAGAGUGAGACGAGUGAGGGAGAUGGAAAAGGAAAAAACAAAGGGUCAGGGAGAUGGAAGAGGAUGCAAGAAAGAACUCAGAUCUACUCCAACAAGAGAAGCAUGGCCACUGCACCUUGUGAGCUUGUGCAUCCAGUUCUUGUUCGGGUGAUUGGCUGCUGAUAGUGAGGGAGAUUGGAAGGGGAAGAAGAAUUGAGUAUGUUACAAGGCCUUCUAAUUUCCAGAAAUUCUAUCCGUUUGCAUUCCGUUAUUUCCCCACAGUGUUCUAGGUACAAGAAACGAUUAAGAAAGAUGUAGAAGAGGAUGCAGAGCAAGGGAGUGUAAGGCACACAUUUUUUGUACCUAAUGACACUGGCGCUUUCUUCUACCUGAUGACAGUGAUGCUUUUGAUAUUUGUAUUGAGCAGAGGUGAAGAGGUCCUUGCAUUUAAUAAAGAUUCAGGUUUCUUCUUGCCUCUCCUAGUGAUGUCAGAGACAACAGUUCCGUACAUAAAUUAAUUUGUGCAUGUCAGAUUCUUUUGUUUAUACCUACAUGAUUGGGUUUGAUGGUUUGCUCUUUGCGGUGACUCCAAGUACACAAAAGCUCUUGGCGGUGACUCCAAGCACACAAUUGGAAAAUUGCAGGACUGGACUGGCUCAAAUAUUUUGGACACUGAAUAUUUUCCACUACAGAAAAUUCAGACAAUUAAGAUGCUCAUAUUAUAGCUACAAGAGAUGUAAAACACAUUGGCCUUGACCUGGAGCUUACGUGGAUGUGUCAUUUAGGAUGCUUCGUUGCUCGUGGGAGUGUAAUACGCUUCAGAGUCUUGAUGAGGUAAUAACACGACUCUAAACUUGUGUAUGGAUGCAGCAUCAUGAGCUUACUGCUCGAGCACAGCCAUGGAUUGCGCCUUCAUCUGCGGCUCUGCGUUUGUGGCAUGGCUCAACGCCCACUCCUCCACUAAAGAUGCAGGUAAGCAAUGGUUACCUGUUAUUUUUUGCAGCUUUGUUUUUAGCUUUUAUUAUCUUUUAUUGAACAGUUACGUGUAUCAAGAUAGCCUCUCAUUGGAUAGUAAGGCAUGUCAGCCUAUUUGAGUUGACUAAGGAUGGCACACCUAAGCAUGUUUAUUAUGUACCUGUCUUUUUUCGUUCAUUCACAUGUUAUAACAUCUCACUUAAUGCAGUUUUGACAUCUGUUAAUAUUUUAUCUGCUAAUUCUUUUACGUAAACUCACUGGUUCGCCCAGGUGUUAUGGCUGAAUGUACUUCUUGUAUUGAAGAUGAUAAAUCUCUAUAUAUCAUGUAAGGUUAUCGAAUACUAAUCUUAUAAAACAAGGUUAUUUUGAGAGACACUGUUAUUUAAUGCAAACAACAAAGCUAACAAGGUGGUAACCCAUAAAUUAUGUGCUUAAAACAAGAUAAACGUAACUUAGAGUAUGGAGAGCAUUAUGCAUUGUCUAGGACGUAUAAAGGGAAGUGAAUGGUGUGUAUUUUAGUUUUUUUACACUGAAUAGAGAUUGGUACCCUAGGUUAAGUUUAUGGGGACUGGGGCUGGAUCCUGGAUAUAUGGAAGGAUCUGAGCCUGGGCAAAUUGCGCUGAUUAUUAGGCAGGCAUGUGAAUUUCCUGAACUUGAAUGCUUCAAUCCUACUGGCCAGCCAUAUAUGACAGUUUUGUUAGUAGUUUCUUAUUUCCAUGGCAUACAUUUGUUACUUCUUUCCUCUAAAAACAGUUGCUUCUUUAAGUCUUUGGUGUUCUUUGGUUAACUGAUAUUUUCCUUCAAAAAAUAGUUAUACUGAUGUUCUUUCCACGUUGGUUUAUCUACACCUCUAUGCUGUUCUUACAUAUGCAUUGUUCAUAAAAUAAAAUGGACAAUGGGAAAGCCUAGAAUUGAAGGAUUCCUCUAUUGAUAGUUGUGAUGAAUGUCUUAGUUUGUCUUAGAGGAAGUCAGACAAUAAUCUGAGAGGAUCACCAAUUGUUGUCCAUCCUGGAAAGUGUAAUCCUGUAAAUUUUGCAUUAUGGAAAAUGCUUAUACUUUGCCUGUGAACUUUGGCAUAAUUUUAAAUAUAUAAUGAGCAUAAUUAUUAUCCUUCUCGAUUGUUUGUUCAGCCGGUGAAGCAGAGCAGCUAUUACUCUAUACUGUAAAUUGGGCUAACCGCCUCAUUUCCUGUGAACUUUGGCAUAAUUUUAAAUAUAUAACGAGAAUAAUUAUUAACCUUUCCAAUCGUUUGUUCAGCCGGUGAAACAGAGCAGCUAUUACUCUAUACUGUAAAUGGGGCUAGCAGCCUCAGUUGUAAGGACAUCUCUGCAAGCCCUAUUUUACAACGCUGGAUCUAGGCUAGAAGCAAUCCAUACAAUUCAUUUGGACUGGUUUCACAAUCAGGCCAAUAGAAAGUCUACUUGGCUACUUGCAAAGGAGAAAAAUAAAGACCUUUCAAAGGAUGCCGUUGGGCUAGACAUAUAACUGUAUUGAGAGAAUUAACAUAUAACUGUACAAAGAGAAUUAUUUCCUAACUAUUGCCAUGGUGGCGACUUUUCAGCUCUAUUAUUUUCCUUCAUGUAUUAUUUUAAUUUAUUUUGUUUUGCUUUGACCAGUGGGAAGUACAACAAUGCAAUAUUGUGUACACGGAGAAAGAGCAUCCGUCCUUGAUGGCAAAGCACUCAUGGUAUGUGCUUUAUUUUUACUAUUGUUCUGUUAAUAAUAGAACUCUAGAUUUAUCUCAAUUUAAAAUUAUCCAGCCUAGCUAGGGCCUCAAGUAACAACCUUUAGAUAUAGGAUUUUCACUUUUUUGUUUAUUUGUUAGGAUUAACAGGUCUAUGUUUUUAUAGCAAUAGGAACAUGAUUAGUUAAGGAUAAAGAAUCCUAGGAAUUGUACAGGCUGAAUUUGUAUUGCAGGUUGGAUCUGAAAAAAUAGUUCCUUUAAGAGGGUGAUAAUGGUUUCUGCAUCCUUACUAUGCUUCAUGUCCUUCGUAUGAAAAAGAUACGGUCUCUGCCUUGCAUCAUCAUUUUUCUCAGAGGUACAACUACUUAGCAUUUAGGUAGAUAAGCAGGGUUGUACAAUCGUUUGUUUAGCUUUAACUGAACCCGGAUAUUCUCGCUUUUGCAGUUUACGUAUUCGCUAUCCUUCAUUAAGGUGUUUUGAAUCAAUAGAAAUGGUGGACCCUAUGUCCUUUGUCCUCCUUGAUGCCAACCCCCAGUGGUGUAUUUUUUAUGUCUAAGAUUUCUAUAUGGUUAUUUUCUUGUUCAUAGGUAGGCUCACACGUCCCCUUUUUAUGUCUACUUUACCAUUGGGAUUAUCUACUCAUAGGUCCCCUCUUUAUUUCUACUUUACCCUUGCGAUUAUCUACAAGGACUAAGAAGUGAUGAUUUCUUGCCUUAUGACUAAUGAUAUGUAUCUAGGGUGCAGUUCAAGUGUCAGAAAGCUGAGGUGAGGUCUAAAUUAUUCAUAACCUCUGUAUUUAUAGCUACUUGUUUAUUAUUCAUGAUCAUUAAAUUAAAUUGGCCAACUUUUCUUUUAUUAAAUGUUAAGCAAGGUCCUAGAAAUGCGAUUUUGUAAUCAGGCUGUGAAGAAACUGAAAUGUGCUGCUUGAUGUUCUUUUUGUUCUUUGAUGCAAUAUAUAUGCUACUGCUGUUAUGUCAAGUUAGCCACAUCUAAGUGAUGUAUAUGUCAGUGUUUCUCUGGAUCAUAUAAUAUGUAGGUAGUUUUCUUUAGUCUUAUUUGUGCUUUGCACCUUUGUAAGUAUAUUGUACACUAAAUGAAUUUUUUCUGUAUUCAGAUUUCUUAUUCUGCACUACAGUGAGUAUAGACUAAUUCUGCUUACGUAUAAACUUUUUAGAAAACUGAUUCUUCUACUUUGGACACUAUACUGCCUAAUCGUCUAAUCUGCAUUGCAGGUACAAGGUUGAGCCGAGAGAAUUUGAUUCAAUUAUAUUUGCAGACGUUUGACUGUAGAUAUUUAGUUUUCUACCUCCUACAACAGUCAAUGAAGUGCAGAGAUGCUUUUGGGAAUUAGACUCAACUACUGCUAUAUCAUGUUAGGCUCUGUGUUGUCAGUUUGUCACUCUGUAUUGUUGCAAUCAAUGUCCUAAAUGGCACCCUAAGUCUUGCGCACCUUUAUGUUACAUCUGAUGGCUGUGACCGGCUCACUUAGUAAUAAGCCAUGACCUCUAUGUGCUAAAUUUCUGCUUUCUUUUGGUGGUUUUGAUUUAGUUAUAUGAGCGCAUACAGAAAAUCUCAAUGGAUUGAUUUCCUGCUUCAGAAGAAAUUAACUGUUUGACUUAGUUAUA